rnacentral:rRNA from 1 species
UACGAAGGGGGCUAGCGUUGUUCGGAAUUACUGGGCGUAAAGCGUGCGCAGGCGGUUAUGUAAGACAGUUGUGAAAUCCCCGGGCUCAACCUGGGAGCUGCAUCUGUGACUGCAUAGCUAGAGUACGGUAGAGGGGGAUGGAAUUCCGCGUGUAGCAGUGAAAUGCGUAGAUAUGCGGAGGAACACCGAUGGCGAAGGCAAUCCCCUGGACCUGUACUGACGCUCAUGCACGAAAGCGUGGGGAGCAAACAGG